GCCCGGCUGGCUCAGCUGGUAGAGCGUGUGACUCUUGCUCUCGGGGUUGUGAGUUUGAGCCCAACGUCGGGUG
rnacentral:tRNA from 1 species